GCCCACGUGGUCCAUCGGACGAAGACGCAGGCCUACGAAGCCUGAGAGCGAGGUUCGACUCCUCGCGUGGGCA
rnacentral:tRNA from 1 species